GUAGACGUUAGCUCAGUGGUUAGAGCACAUGCCUCUGGCUCUCGGGUCCGCGAGUUCGAGUCCCGUCGUCUACU
rfam:Trichomalopsis sarcophagae strain Alberta scaffold691, whole genome shotgun sequence.